GCCUGGGUGGCUCAGUCGGUUAAGCAUCUGACUUCGGCUCAGGUCAUGAUCUCACGGUUUGUGGGUUCGAGCCCUGCAUCGGGCU
rnacentral:tRNA from 1 species